GACUAUUCCCGACUUUAAUUGCUAUAUAAAAACUACUAUUGUGUAGGAGUGACCUUAAGCAAUCUUAGUUGUAAAAAAGAAUUCUAUACUGGGAUGGCAAGGAGCCCAAGCUCUUAUUUUUUCUUUCUUUUUUACAAUAAGAUAGUUAAAGAAUUACCUACUAUAACACUUAAUAACAAAGGUUACAUUACAAAAAUAAUUCUUUGCAAAUAAAUCAUACUACAUUGAAGAAGAACUCACCUAAUUGCAUCUCUAGCCAACUUGUCACUUGUUAACAAACUUCCAAAAUAUGUGACUCUUUUCCUAACCGAUCUCGAACUAAACGUUCUAAAUAAGGAUUUAAGGCUUAAAGAUAAUAGAUUAAAGGUUCUAUCUAUCUUAUUCCAUCUACACCUAUAAGAGAGAUUAAAGACUUAUCUUUUUCAUGUCUUCUUUUUAGAUUCUACCCUCUAAUUCCUAGCUCCUGCUCCUUGUAUUCAAGCAAUUUUCUAAAAUUUUAAAGAAAGAAUAAUUGACAAGAUUCAAGGACUUACUUGGUUACAAGCUAUUAAUGCUUUCCUUCUCUCUUCUUGUACUCCUUCGCCUCAACCAUAAUCUGUGUUAGCAAAAUAAAUUUAAAUUCAAUGAAGUUUGUUGAAAAGAUAUUCAUCUUAGAUUAUGAUUUGAACUUGUUGGUCUUCUCUUUUCUUCUUUCCUACAUUUUUCCUUGUUUUUUCCAAUUCCUUCUAGCUAAUUUUUCUAUCUAUCUCUUCUUCUUUUGUUGAUGAAGAAUUCUCUUGAAGUUCUUGUUGAGUUCUUUCUACACUACUUUCUAUGAAUAGAAGGGAUACGAGGGGUGGAGUGAGUGAUUAAAUCUCCCUACCACUAGAGAGAAGCCCUCAACUAGAAGUUCACAAGGGUGAAAAGAAAUG
rnacentral:lncRNA from 1 species